CCUACGGGGGGCAGCAGUGAGGAAUAUUGGUCAAUGGACGAGAGUCUGAACCAGCCAAGUAGCGUGAAGGAUGACUGCCCUAUGGGUUGUAAACUUCUUUUAUAAAGGAAUAAAACGAGGCACGUGUGCCUUUUUGCAUGUACUUUAUGAAUAAGGAUCGGCUAACUCCGUGCCAGCAGCCGCGGUAAUACGGAGGAUCCGAGCGUUAUCCGGAUUUAUUGGGUUUAAAGGGAGCGUAGAUGGGUUGUUAAGUCAGUUGUGAAAGUUUGCGGCUCAACCGUAAAAUUGCAAUUGAUACUGGCAGUCGUGAGUACAGUUGAGGUAGGCGGAAUUCGUGGUGUAGCGGUGAAAUGCUUAGAUAUAACGAAGAACCCCGAUUGCGAAGGCAGCUUACUAAACUGUGACUGACAUUGAUGCUCGAAAGUGUGGGUAUCAAACAGGAUUAGAUACCCCGGUAGUC
rnacentral:rRNA from 1 species